UAAGGAAUAUUGCGCAAUGGGCGAAAGCCUGACGCAGCGACGCCGCGUGGGGGAUGAAGGUCUUCGGAUUGUAAACCCCUUUCGGGAGGGAAGAUGGAGCGAGCAAUCGUUCGGACGGUACCUCCAGAAGCAGCCACGGCCAACUUCGUGCCAGCAGCCGCGGUAAUACGAAGGUGGCAAGCGUUGUUCGGAUUCACUGGGCGUACAGGGUGUGUAGGCGGUUUGGUAAGCCUUCUGUUAAAGCUUCGGGCCCAACCCGGAAAGCGCAGAGGGUACUGCCAGGCUAGAGGGUGGGAGAGGAGCGCGGAAUUCCCGGUGUAGCGGUGAAAUGCGUAGAGAUCGGGAGGAAGGCCGGUGGCGAAGGCGGCGCUCUGGAACAUACCUGACGCUGAGACACGAAAGCGUGGGGAGCAAACAGG
rnacentral:rRNA from 2 species